rnacentral:tRNA from 1 species
GGGCCUGUAGCUCAGUUGGGAGAGCACCUGGUUUGCAACCAGGGGGUCGGGAGUUCGAACCUCCCCAGGUCCACCA